CCUACUGCGGCGCUCUCUCUCUCUCUCUCUCUCUCUCUCUCUCUCUCUCUCUCUGUGCCAACCAAGCGCUCUCCCUCUCUCCUUGCCACAAAGAGUGCAAAAAACUAGGGUUUACAGUGUACUGAUAGCUGGUAAAGACAGGAAUAUGACCCAACAAGCUAUUGUUGUUAAGCCGGCUAUGCUUCUACCAACAUGCCAAGGAACACAAUAUUUGUUCUGUGUGACUAGAACAUUGCUCUCCAACUUUCAGGCCAAGUUCGUCAGUGCGCACACCGGACAAAAAUUCAAUUUUUUGUACAUGAAGUGAGCUAAGUUCCUGUUCAUAAGUCAGAUUGGUUGAAUAAUUCUAACCUGAUUGGGACACUUGUUUGUCAAGUAAGACCAUUGGACAUAUUUCAGUUUUGACUGCCCAAUAAAUCUCCCCCAAUCUGAUAGUCAUCCAAUUGCAUGGAAUGAUUUAGGGUGAAACAUAUUUCUUCAUCAAAAACUUGCCUCUUGCUAAGCAAUCAGAUUCAAAAAUCCAAAGCAGAAGGUGAUCAAUGUCAUGCAUUGUCGGAGAAACUACAGCUGGUAACUGGUCAGUAGAUGCAUGUAGAUGCUUCUUGUGUAGUUUUUGCAGUUCAGGCAUUCAUUUUCUGUUGAAUAUUUCUUCAACAUCUGAUAUUAUAGGUUGAGAAGGAUGAUUUUGUCUGGUGGGAAAAAGAAGUGAAUAUGAAAGUUGAUUUAGCUGACAUUUCUCAAAGAACUGCUGCAAUUGUAGGCUCUUGAAUAAUCGAGCUAGAAAAGGAGUUAAAGAGACACAUUAUUGAAACAAAUCUGCUCGAGAGUAGGUUGGAAGAGGCUUCGAGAGAGCCAGGAUGGAAAGAGAUCAUUGCAGAGUUCAAGGGACUGCUUUCAUCUCUCCCCAAGGAUAUGGAUGUUAUGCAAAGCCGACUAAGUGAGUAUAAAGAAGCUGCAUUGGAAGUUCAUUCUCUACGAGCUGAAGUUCAAUCUCUGUUUAAUAUUAUUGAUAGGAAGGUAACUGCGUUGGGAAUGCUAUCGCGUAGAUCUGCCGAACAAGUUGCUGAAAUACAGAAACUGCAGGCUGUGGUAGGACUUGAGGGGAGUGCUAAUGGACGAUGGUGGUUGGAUGCUAUCAGGAAGGCCCUCAAAUAAGGAACAACAUUUGAACAUGUAGGAUCUAGGCAAUUGGCUGGUUUGCUUAUAUCCGCAGGACAUUGCAUUGGAGACAAAGUGAAUGUUCUUUUCUAGCCUCUGUUUUUUGGUGAUGCUUCGGAAGAAUUGUUGAAGUUUUCAGCUUCCAACUGCUUCUUUAUUUCCAUUGGAAUAUCAAACUUUGAUCAUCAAUGUGGGAAUUCAACUGAGUUGACUUGCCUGUUAUAGGAUGCGGGUGGCAAAAGACCGGUGCUCUCAUUAACCUCAGAACUUUCUACAUUGUGGGAAUUCCAACUAUUGUUCUCUUGGCUCUCAUCUUCCAUUUUGGAGGUAAGGCAUUCACCAAACAGGGCCUUUGCAAAAGUUAUGUGACAUGGAGUUCAAUACUGUGUUUUUGCAUGCUCAUGUAAUCCAAUGUAUGUAGUUCAAACUGUUCAUCCACCUGACGGAUGGCCCCUUGAGGUCUGUAUUUGCUUGACUUGUAGUAAUUACGACAAGAUGCUCUUCUUGUAUUAGCAUGUCUGAACAAUAUGACAAUGCUGGAGCAAGUACUAGCUUGAGCCUGAAUAGCAGCCUACAAGAUACGGAGGAUGACAGGAUUAUUGCCAAUAAUCCUAUAAGAGGAACAUGUCGGAGAGGAUAUGAGACUUGGGAAGCAUCUAUCUCAUUUAGAUUCCAUCCUGGUAAGACCCAAGCUCAUACUUUCUUGUAAUGUUUCGCAUAUGCCAAUUUAAUGAAUUGCCCACCCUUACCCCCUUUUUUUUUUCUUUUUUUUUGAUGUCCCUUUGUGUGAGAAAGCUUUCGCUGUGACUUGUGAGUGGUUGUAAACAAGAGAAUGCCUGAAAAGUUUAUUUAUGCUUAGAAAAAUGAUGGUUAGAAAAAGAAGUUUAAGGUGUUAUUUGGCACCAUGUAUUUGGAGGUAUUUGGGUGUAAAUGCAUAUUUUUAUGCGCUUGACGCCAUGCAAUCGGAGGUAAAUAGAAUAAGUGGUAAAUGAAAAGUUAA